rnacentral:rRNA from 1 species
UACGUAGGGUGCGAGCGUUGUCCGGAAUUAUUGGGCGUAAAGAGCUCGUAGGCGGUCUGUCGCGUCGAAUGUGAAAACCCGGGGCUCAACCCCGGGCCUGCAUUCGAUACGGGCAGACUAGAGUUCGGUAGGGGAGUCUGGAAUUCCUGGAGUAGCGGUGAAGUGCGCAGAUAUCAGGAGGAACACCGGUGGCGAAGGCGGGACUCUGGGCCGAUACUGACGCUGAGGAGCGAAAGCGUGGGGAGCAAACAGG